AUCGGAUUUACUGGGNGUAAAGCGCGCGUAGGCGGCUAAUUAAGUCAAAUGUGAAAUCCCCGAGCUUAACUNGGGAAUUGCAUUCGAUACUGGUUAGCUAGAGUGUGGGAGAGGAUGGUAGAAUUCCAGGUGUAGCGGUGAAAUGCGUAGAGAUCUGGAGGAAUACCGNUGGCGAAGGCAGCCAUCUGGCCUAACACUGACGCUGAGGUGCGAAAGCAUGGGGAGCAAACAGGNUUAGAUACCCUGGUAGUCCAUGCCGUAAACGAUGUCUUACUAGCCGUUGGGGCCUUUGAGGCUUUAGUGGCGCAGCUAACGCGAUAAGUAGACCGCCUGGGGAGUACGGUCGCAAGACUAAAACUCAAAUGAAUUGACGGGGGCCCGCACAAGCGGUGGAGCAUGUGGUUUAAUUCGAUGCAACGCGAAGAACCUUACCUGGCCUUGACAUAGUAAGAACUUUCCAGAGAUGGAUUGGUGCCUUCGGGAACUUACAUACAGGUGCUGCAUGGCUGUCGUCAGCUCGUGUCGUGAGAUGUUGGGUUAAGUCCCGCAACGAGCGCAACCCUUUUCCUUAUUUGCCAGCGAGUAAUGUCGGGAACUUUAAGGAUACUGCCAGUAACAAACUGGAGGAAGGCGGGGACGACNUCAAGUCAUCAUGGNCCUUACGGCCAGNGCUACACACGUGCUACAAUGGUCGGAACAANGGGUUGCUACCUAGCGAUAGGAUGCUAUUCUCAAAANGCCGAUCGUAGUCCGGAUUGGAGUCUGCACCUCGACUCCAUGAAGUCGGAAUCGCUAGUNAUCGCGGAUCAGAAUGCCGCGGUGAAUACGU
rnacentral:rRNA from 1 species